AGUCGAACGGUAACAGAACUAGCUUGCUAGUUGCUGACGAGUGGCGGACGGGUGAGUAAUACUUAGGGAUCUGCCUCUGUGUGGGGGAUAACUAUUGGAAACGAUAGCUAAUACCGCAUAACGUCUACGGACCAAAGAGGGCUUCGGCUCUCGCGCAGAGAGGAACCUAAGCGAGAUUAGCUUGUUGGUGAGGUAAAGGCUCACCAAGGCGACGAUCUCUAGCUGUUCUGAGAGGAAGAUCAGCCACACUGGAACUGAGACACGGUCCAGACUCCUACGGGAGGCAGCAGUGGGGAAUAUUGCACAAUGGGGGCAACCCUGAUGCAGCCAUGCCGCGUGUGUGAAGAAGGCCUUCGGGUUGUAAAGCACUUUCAGUUGUGAGGAAAGGUUAGUAGUUAAUACCUGCUAGCUGUGACGUUAACAACAGAAGAAGCACCGGCUAACUCCGUGCCAGCAGCCGCGGUAAUACGGAGGGUGCGAGCGUUAAUCGGAAUUACUGGGCGUAAAGCGCACGCAGGCGGUCUGUUAAGCUAGAUGUGAAAGCCCCGCGCUCAACGUGGGAGGGUCAUUUAGAACUGGCAGACUA
rnacentral:rRNA from 1 species